AAACAUGGAGUUGGAACCCAAGUAGGGCCGGGGCGGGAAGUGGCGGCGAGGUUUCUCAGAGGACAUGACCCCCGGUGGAGCCCUGAAGGGCAAAAAGCGGUCCUCCAGAGGGCCUUCCAGGUCGAGAGAGAGCGUGCACACGCACGCAGAGACGCGCAUGCUGUGCCCGGGUCGGGAGGCGCUGCAGUAGUUUCUGCUCCACACGUCGUGGUCCGGAAGCCAGUGAGACCUCAUCGUCAUGCCCCACUUGGGAGCCCCCAGGCCCUGGGUCCGGCUUGGUCCUACAGGGCCCCUGAAGGGACGGAGAGCUCCGGUGGCUGUGGAGCCUUUGUUCACCUGUUCUCCAGGUACAAGUCAAGAGGUUAUGAGAACAUCUCCAUCGUGGGCCACCGGCAGGCCAGGACUCCAAUGUAGAGGGGUGGAUCCCUGGAGGUCACUGCUCAGCCCUUUUCUGGAGACUGCCAACCAGCAUGCCAUCCCAGCUGCGUUGUGGGGGUGAAGGGUGGGGUGACCACCAGUGAGGGUGAAGGCCACCCCCCUGUCACUCAUCUUGCCAAGCCAUUACCAGGCGGUCAGGACUCAUGGGCAGUGUCUCCUCCGGGGCCAUGCUGGCAUCUGUAACCUCCACACACCCCAGUGGUCCCAUCCAGCCAUCCCUGCCCACCCGCCUGGCCCACUCUGUUGUGAAGUUCUCAUCAGCCUUCCCCUUGUGCAUAGUCGUAACUCACAGGGGCUCCAACGCCCGUAGGGCAGCCCAUCGGAAGUGUCUCCUCUUAUUCCCGGCUAGAGACGUCCAGAGGACAAUCAGCUUCAGAUCAUACCAUCGGUAAGGUAGGUGCAACUGGGGCCUGACACACUUCAUCUCAGAAGCAAUCCAUGCUGUAAAAAAAAAAAAAAAAAAAAGAAAAAAGUACACGAACCGCCCCCAGUGCUUUCUGGCCUCCUCCUGUGUGCAGAGCAAAUGCUCAAAGGAAGAGACACAAGGAACUCCCCAUCCCCCUUGUUGCCAAGAUAUCCCAGAUAUCUUUGUCAGUCUGUUGCAAGGAGAAGGAACCGCGCUCUGGAAGAAACCGAAGUGACCCCGUAAGACACAGACUGGAGAUUUUGCACAUGGAAGAAGAAGAGAGUUGUGGAAAAUUCUAGAAACACGCCUAGCGUUAGUUACAUUUGGACUCUCUACAAUGCAUCAGGCACUUUCUAAAUGGCAUCAUGUGGCAAACGUUGCAUUGCCCUCCGUCUGGCAGCCACGAAGGACUUUGAGGUCGUUUUCCUCUGCUUGGUUGAAAACCCGAGGGAAACCAGAUGACAAUUCAGGUGGGCCCUGCCACGCGGGGCGUGUACGCGUCUCCAUGAAUGUACUCGGCGGUGUGCAACCCGGCAACGCCCACCCCACCCCCCAUCCUGUCCGUAUGCACCCUGGUGAGCAUUUUAUACACUCUCCUCUAACGCUACCAUCGUUCUGUCUCGCAGGUGUGAUGUAUGGCGCCUCCGUGUCGUCCUGUCAUAGCUUCCGCCUCCCCACGCGGAGGGAGGCCACAAAGACAAAGCUGAGACAUUAUGGCUAUUCCAGAAAAUAAAAUAUUUUUGAAACCGCA